rnacentral:rRNA from 1 species
UACGUAGGUGGCAAGCGUUAUCCGGAUUUAUUGGGCGUAAAGCGAGCGCAGGCGGUUGCUUAGGUCUGAUGUGAAAGCCUUCGGCUUAACCGAAGAAGUGCAUCGGAAACCGGGCAACUUGAGUGCAGAAGAGGAGAGUGGAAUUCCAUGUGUAGCGGUGAAAUGCGCAGAGAUAUGGAGGAACACCAGUGGCGAAGGCGGCUCUCUGGUCUGUAACUGACGCUGAGGCUCGAAAGCAUGGGUAGCGAACA